CUCCCCGCAACCCCCACCGUAGGCCCACUACGAACCGGAAGCCGCGGGGUUUCCGCCUGCAACACCUGAGGGCGGCCAUGUUGCGGUACGGAACCCAGCCCUCUCAGUAACCGGAAGUGUCGCGUGCCCCGCCCACCUAGGACGCCGUUCCCAGUGCUCGGACGCUCAAAGGGGAGGAGCUGAGGUGGGGGGAGCCUCCUGGCAGCUGGGGCGCGCCAUGUUGCCGUACGGCACCGGCCUGGCCUGCACUGCCCUCCUCGGGGAAGGCGUGGAGUUCCUUGCACCUGGUGUUUCCCCGAAGCCACUGGUCCAGUCAGACGCUUCCUGUCUCAGACCUCCCCAACGCCGUCCGGUCGAGGCUGGGAAGAUCCAGCCCCCCCCCCCCGCACCUAGAAGGGGAAGGAACCCCCACAUGGUACCUAAGAGCUGGGCUCUCUAGGGCUGUGCAGGGCUCCGGGGGACGAAAUAACAAGUCUUUUCCUGUCCUGGGUUGGUGUGGUGGACAUCUUGCCAAUUUGCAGGACCAAGAAGCCCAGUGGCUCUCAGAGGAACCGAACCUCAAACUCGCUUUAAAGAAACCCACCUCGUUUCCUGUCCGGUCCUCUACGUAGGGCAUUUAAAUUGGGGAACAGAAAAGUUCCUCAAUGGUUAACGAGACUCUAAAGAUAAUAAAGGAUUUAAUUUCCAUA